rnacentral:lncRNA from 1 species
UUUGGGGGGAGGAUUUUCAAUUCAUUUCAACGUCACAACUUGUGUUUUAAAAUGGCAGAAGGAGGGCUUGAAACCUCGGACCUUGUGAUCGGUAUUCAUGUCCUCCACCACUGAGUCACAUCAUCACAUCGCCAGGUCUAUGCCUUUAAGGUUACAAACAUUUUUUUCCCCUAUUUCUUGUUAUAAGUUGAUAUAUGUUGCCUGAGGGUUAUUUAGCAAAUACAAAAUAGCAGGAAUAAGAAGGUUUAUUCAUUCUUAAUUUUUUUUUCUCCCUUACCCCAGGUUGGUCUCUAGCUCUAUGUAGUUGGGGAUGACCACAAACUUCUGAUCUUCUUGAUUCCACCCCCUCCCAACGUUGGAAGUAGGAGCCUGCUUUACCAGGCCUGAGUUAUUCAGGCGGAACCCAUGGCGUCAUGCAUUCGAGGCAAGCAGACUAUCAACUGAGACAUUUCUGAUCCUUGUUAAUUUAUUGAUUGCAUUUUAGGUGUGUGUGUGUGUGUGUGUGUGUGUGUGUGUGUGUGUAGCUCAGAGGACAACUGCUACCAUGUGGGUCCCAGGCAUUGCCCUUUACCCAGUCAGUCCUAUUUAUUCAUGUCUGAAACCAAGCUGUUUGAGAACAUUGUCUUAGUUACUUUUGUGUUGCUGUGAUAAAACACCCUGGCCAACAGCAACUCGUGGAAGGCAGACUUUGGGCUUACAGUUGCAGAGGGAUAAGACUCCAUCUCGGUGGAGAGGCACAGCAAAUAGCCAGAGCAGGAAGCUGAGAGCUCACCUCAAUUGCAAGCACCAAGCAGAGAAAAGCUGGAAGUGGGACAAGGCUCCAGGCUCUCAGUCUCCAUCCCUACAUCCUCCUGCAAGGCUGCACCUUCUAACCCCCAACCCACAGCACCUCCCCCACCCCCUCCAGCACCACCUGUGUUCUCACUACCGCUUACAUUUUUAGCAUUUGUCCUGCUGAGGUUGGAAAGUGUAAAUGUAAGGCCAGCCUGGACUGAACUCUGGAGUAAAAAACCUCACAAACUCACAAACAAUUCAAAAGGAAGAAGAGCUCCGGAGGAAGGGAGGGAGGGGGGGGGGAGGAGGUAGGGGGAGGGAGGGAGGGGGAGGGGGAGGGAGAGA